UCCGGUGAUAAUGGCGUAGAGGAUCCACCUGUUCCCAUACCGAACACAGAAGUUAAGCUCUAUUGCGCCGAAAGUACUUACGCAUUACGCGUUGGGAGGAUAGGUCGUUGCCGGAU
rnacentral:rRNA from 1 species